AGCGAACGCUGGCGGCAGGCUUAACACAUGCAAGUCGAGCGGCCGUAGCAAUACGGCAGCGGCAGACGGGAGAGUAACACGUGGGAACGUACCCUUCAGUACGGAACAACCAAGGGAAACUUUGGCUAAUACCGUAUACGUCCGUAAGGAGAAAGAUUUAUCGCUGAAGGAUCGGCCCGCGUCUGAUUAGCUAGUUGGUGAGGUAACGGCUCACCAAGGCGACGAUCAGUAGCUGGUCUGAGAGGAUGAUCAGCCUCACUGGGACUGAGACACGGCCCAGACUCCUACGAGAGGCAGCAGUGGGGAAUAUUGGACAAUGGGCGCAAGCCUGAUCCAGCCAUGCCGCGUGGAUGAUGAAGGCCCUAGGGUUGUAAAGUCCUUUUAACGGGGAAGAUAAUGACGGUACCCGUAGAAUAAGCCCCGGCUAACUUCGUGCCAGCCGCCGCAGUAAAAC
rnacentral:rRNA from 1 species